UGGUGAUUACCAAAUUGUUUAAACAAAAGAGAAAGGACUGCCAGCCUGCCAGUCUCUACCGGCUCACUAAUCAAUCGUCUUUAACACAGAUUACCGAGCCACGGCGGAACAUCUUUAGGAAAACAAACACAAAACAAAGCGCCACAAAUCUCGUGCUCUUUUUUGAUAAAAUAAAGAGAGAAUGAUGGCUGUGAGAAGCAAAGCACCAAGCCAGCCAAGGGAUUUUUGCAGAGAGAGCAAGGAAGCUCCUACCGUCCUACGCCUCUCCAAUCCUACUAGAUCGUAUUUCCUGCGGACUCCCGGUUGAUCAAUGGAAUGAUGGGUUAGAUUGCUGCGCACGCCUUUCCUUUCCUCCUUGGUCCUGGCGGAGGGAGGCGAUUCUUCUCUACGGGAAACAGGAGCUGGCAGGAGGUGUUGAUCGAACCAGCGGAUUCAUGGGUUAGACUGGCGUUCGUGCGCGCCUUUCUUGUUUGUUGGUCUUCUACGACAAGAGGACUUCCAUCAUGAAAGCAGAAAUAGAGAUGUUCCACGCCGUGAUGAUGAUGAUCGCCGCCUUGGAUCGUCGCUGUUGCUUGGAUUCAGAAAAAUUUCUGCAUCGUCAGCAUACAAGCUUGCUUUGAACGCUGUUGCUCUUCCCUGAAUUGGUGAUAGCAGGUUUUAUUGCUCGGUCAGUCUACUACUGAUUUAUACAUGCACCAAUAAUAUUCAUUGAUUCAUACAUCUUACCAGAGCACGCAUUCUUGUUCAAAUACCUACUUGUUAACUGAAGCUGAAUCAGAUUAAUUUUUUUGGAAAAUAGAAUAGUCUCCAACCUCUGCGACCGCACACAGCCAAACUGAAUCGAAUUAAUGUGGCCUCACUUUGCUUCCUUGUUGCUCCACUGCAUUAUAUCGGUGCAGGAGGUGUUCACAUAGCCAGAGAAGAUAUUUGAUCAUAUCCGGAGGGACGGAGACAGAAAGGUCAUCUAUUUUCAUGGUUGGAAUGGCUAUGGGACGGCCCCAUUCCUCAUAUCCAUAGCACAAGAACUUCGGUCAAUCAAAGCUAACAAAACUCCUCCAGAAUUAUGCUUUGAUAAAAUAGUUUAUGUAGAUUGCUCAGUGUGGUGAAGUAGAAGAGAGAUGCAAAGGAAAAUCACGGAGGAGCUCAAGCUUGAUCCUGAAACAAUGGCCAGGUUUGAUAAGCAGGAUGAGGAGGAUGACUUCAAUAGUGUGGACCAUGGCUCUAGGGAUGUGAUACCACGUGUUACGCAAGUGAUUGCCCGAACCCAGUGGAAUAGAGAUUUUUUAUGAUUUUUCCCAAUGGAAGUGAUGACGAGGUUGAUAUCAACAGUUUUGGUUUUACUCCACAUGAUCUUAUGGACAUUCAAAAGACGGUCUUUGACUAUAGAUGCCGAAAAAUAUGCGAUAAAAAGCAAGCUACGAUACACCCAUCUUCUUCUUUAUGACAUACGGGCUGCCUGGGAAUUAACAAGUUCAGAAUUCCUUGAUCUGCUACAUGAAGAGGCUAUUAACAUUGUCACUCACCACCCAUGGAUGCAGGGCAUUGACCUAGCAAUAAUAACAGAGUGUUACCUGUAUGAGUUAUUCUUGCUAUAUAGUUUCCACAGGGCCACUGGAUUUGAUUGGGUAGCUCAUGCUCCAAGCUACUGGACGUGCGAUAGGAUAAUUAAAGAGGACGGAAUAAGGAAGAUUAGUGAUACACUGCAUCAGGAAAUAUGUUGGGUGCAUGAUGCUUCCGAGCUUGGCAUGUUAUUUGAAGAACUCAUGGAAGAUGAUGUGGAGGCUCCAUGUUUUGGUAGUCAAAGACAAUAUUUCCUUCUUUAAGAAGAGGUCAUAUCGUUGGGUUUCUAUCACCUCAAAGAAUAUAAAAUUACAUGAGGAUAUGAAAGCUAUAUUGGAAAUCGCAACGUCAUUGUUUGUAGCGAUUGAAAAGUUGGAUUGUCCACAAGACUUACCAGAUGAUCUUCUUAAACAUUGCGGCAAUCUUGGUGUGCUAAUUCUC